AUUCCAGCUCCAAUAGCGUAUAUUAAAGUUGUUGCGGUUAAAAAGCUCGUAGUUGGAGUUCUGCCAGGUGGCGCUCGUCCGCCCAAGUGGUGUGUACAGGGCGUGCAUCUGGCCCUUUCAAGGGGAACGUGUCUGCACUUCAUUGUGUGGUGCGAGAUCCUUGACUUUUACUUUGAGGAAAUAAGAGUGUUCCAAGCAGGCUCUCGUCGUGCAUAGCUCAGCAUGGAAUAAUAGCAUUGGACUUCGUUUCUACGCUGUUGGUUGCAAGAAGCGAGGUAAUGAUUAAUAGGGAUAGUUGGGGGCAUUAGUACUUUGCUGUCAGAGGUGAAAUUCUCGGAUUUGCAAAAGACUAACUUAUGCGAAAGCAUUUGCCAGGGAUGUUUUCAUUA
rnacentral:rRNA from 1 species